AUAUAUAUAUAUAUAGAUAUAUACUACCUGUAUACAUUAUGUAUUAUUAUGGUACUUGCUAACAUACUAACAGGUUCAGGGCCAUCCAGAAAGACCUCACACCUUCAUGAGGAGGAACAGAAGAUGUACAAACGUUCGUGCCCAUGUGUAUAAUUAUUCAGAGCUUAUUUUUAACAGUUUUUGAGCCUAUUUUUAUAUAAACAUAUAUAUAUAGAUAUAUACUACCUGUAUACAUUAUGUAUUAUUAUGGUACUUGCUAACAGGAACCACAAGAUUAACAUUAAAAUACAUUACAAUCAGAGAAUGCUGAAGAGCAUCUCUGAAUGUUCAACAUGUCGUGUGUACCUAAUAAAUUGGCUAUAUCCUUGUAAACACAGCAUGGCAGUUUCAUGUCUGCGGUCGACGCACGCGACGGAAGCGCUUUCAUUUUCCUCAACACGUCAACAGAUUCCUUCCACUUCCGUGUGUGAGUGUGACGUCUUCAGCCGCUGGCGCUGACUCAGCACUGGCGGCUGAUUGAUGAGGAGGUGAAGACAGCGGUGUAAGUAUUGGAGGAUGAAGAUGGAGGGUAAGGCUUCACUCUAAUGAUGAUGAUGAUGAUGAUGAGGUUUGGGAUUCAUGGAGCUAAAGAAGAAGAAAAACUGUGCAGCUCUGGAUUUUAAUCCUGCAGAACGGAGUCUGACAGACUGAGUUUAUGUUCUCAGACUUUUCAGCAUAGACCAGCAUGGACCACCACAGACCAACAUGGACCAGCAUAGACCAACAUGGACCAGCAUAGACCAACAUGGACCACCAUAGACCAACAUGGACCACCACAGACCAACAUGGACCAGCAUAGACCAACAUGGACCGGCAUAGACCAACAUGGACCACCACAGACCAACAUGGACCUUUCAACCUUUUCUAGACUUUUGAGGAGAAAGAUCAGAGGUAACUUCAGGGACUCAAACAUAUUUACAGUAUAUUUUAGUUGUGACAUCAUUUUGUCCUGUUAUAAUUCAGAUGUGGCUGCGUUGUUAUGUUAUUAAGUCAGACUUUAUUUGCUGGGAAUGCUGAGAAUGCUGUUUUUCAUAUGUGGCAUUUUUCACGUACAGUACAAAGUGUUAAAAGACGUUGAAUUGGUCGGUCUUGAGAUAACUUAGAGUUUAAUGUUCAGUGCUUUGUGUUCUCGGCUCUUCUGGCAGAGGGAGAGUCCUUUGAUUUCCACUCAACACUGAAUUAUGUUCAACGUCAGUGACACGCAGCCUCUUUUCUCCUCUCCUAAACUUUUAAAAACCACUCACUAAUCACGCUCCUCCUCCUCCUCCUCUUCCUCUGUGAUUGUACUUUACCUGGAGUAAUUGACUUAUCAGUGUCACUCAUGAAAAAUGACUUUCCAA